GACUCCAGUGGUGGCACUCCUGGUCUCCAGGGUGGGGUCCGACUCCCUGAGGGGUC
rnacentral:sRNA from 1 species